rnacentral:rRNA from 1 species
UACACACCGCCCGUCGCUACUACCGAUUGAAUGGCUGAGUGAGGCCUUCGGACUGGCCCAGGGAGGUCGGCAACGACCACCCAGGGCCGGAAAGUUGGUCAAACUCCGUCAUUUAGAGGAAGUAAAAGUCGUAACAAGGUUUCCGUAGGUGAACCUGCGGAAGGAUCAUUAAAGAGUAAGGGUGCUCAGCGCCCGACCUCCAACCCUUUGUUGUUAAAACUACCUUGUUGCUUUGGCGGGACCGCUCGGUCUCGAGCCGCUGGGGAUUCGUCCCAGGCGAGCGCCCGCCAGAGUUAAACCAAACUCUUGUUAUUAAACCGGUCGUCUGAGUUAAAAUUUUGAAUAAAUCAAAACUUUCAACAACGGAUCUCUUGGUUCUCGCAUCGAUGAAGAACGCAGCGAAAUGCGAUAAGUAAUGUGAAUUGCAGAGUUCAGUGAAUCAUCGAAUCUUUGAACGCACAUUGCGCCCCUUGGUAUUCCGAGGGGCAUGCCUGUUCGAGCGUCAUUACACCACUCAAGCUAUGCUUGGUAUUGGGUGCCGUCCUUAGUUGGGCGCGCCUUAAAGACCUCGGCGAGGCCACUCCGGCUUUAGGCGUAGUAGAAUUUAUUCGAACGUCUGUCAAAGGAGAGGAACUCUGCCGAUUGAAACCUUUAUUUUUCUAGGUUGACCUCGGAUCAGGUAGGGAUACCCGCUGAACUUAAGCAUAUCAAUAAGCGGAGGA